GCCCGCCUAGCUCAAUCGGAUAGAGCGUCAGACUCUUAGGCGGGUGAUAACGUCCUACAGUUAUCUGAAGGCUGCGAGUUCGACCCUCGCGGUGGGCU